GACGAACGCUGGCGGCGUGCUUAACACAUGCAAGUCGAACGGUGACGAGGAGCUUGCUCCUCUGAUCAGUGGCGAACGGGUGAGUAACACGUGAGUAACCUGCCCCAGACUCUGGAAUAACAGUUGGAAACAGCUGCUAAUACCGGAUACGAGACGGAGAGGCAUCUCUACCGUCUGGAAAGUUUUUCGGUCUGGGAUGGACUCGCGGCCUAUCAGCUAGUUGGUGAGGUAAUGGCUCACCAAGGCGACGACGGGUAGCCGGCCUGAGAGGGCGACCGGCCACACUGGGACUGAGACACGGCCCAGACUCCUACGGGAGGCAGCAGUGGGGAAUAUUGCACAAUGGGCGAAAGCCUGAUGCAGCGACGCCGCGUGAGGGAUGACGGCCUUCGGUUGUAAACCGUCUUUCUAGCAGGGAAGAAGACGAAAGUAGACGGUACCUGCAGAAGAAGACACCGGACUAACUACGUGCCAGCAGCCGCGGUAAUACUCGUCU
rnacentral:rRNA from 1 species